UACGUAGGGCGCAAGCGUUGUCCGGAAUCAUUGGGCGUAAAGAGCUCGUAGGCGGCCUGUUGCGUCCGCUGUGAAAUCCCGGGGCUUAACCCCGGGCGUGCAGUGGAUACGGGCUGGCUGGAGGCAGGCAGGGGAGAACGGAAUUCCCGGUGUAGCGGUGAAAUGCGCAGAUAUCGGGAGGAACACCGGUGGCGAAGGCGGGUCUCUGGGCCGUAACUGACGCUGAGGAGCGAAAGCGUGGGGAGCGAACAGG
rnacentral:rRNA from 1 species